GUGGGAAGCCUCCUACAGAAUUGUACUUAUACUGUGAAUUGAGACAUAUCAACACAGACAUUUUUUGAAAGCCUACUUUCAACUGUAUGUGCAGCUCAGACAGAAAUUUACUGUCCUUUGAUUUAACCCACGUUACAUCUGAUAUCUUGAAUUAAGGUCAUUUCAGAACAAAACUGCACCACUGGAAGAAACUUUUUGUAAUGCUGGAAGUAAAUGAUAGUUGUGACUCACAAAAAAAAAAAAAAAAUUAGUAUCCAAAACCCAAACUCACCGUGUGAUGAGACUGGUGGGUGACAGGGUUUGGUCACUUUGAGUCCAAGGCAGGGUCUUAUUGUACAGGGUUUCUGCCACGUCAAUGAAGUGAUGAGUGACUAUGUCAAACACAGCAUCCAAAAUAGUUUUAUUGGAGAGAGAAGCUGAGCUGGAACUUGUAGUGAGUUCAGUUAGCAGAUCAGAGAUGUUCAGCAGCUUAAGAACAUAGUGACCAGCUUCUAUCAUGUCUAGAGCUGACACAUUGCUGGCAAGGUUGUUUGCCACUGCUUCCAGUAACUUUGCAAAGGCAGCCACUUCAGCUAGAUUCCUUUCACUGUUCAGUGACCUGUCAGCUACAUCCCAGAUGCUUGAAAAAUAGCUCAAUUUGGUGAGGUUGUAAGAAUCCAGCAAUCUCUGCAGCAUGUUGUUCAUGAGAAGCUCGCUCUGUGUCAUGCUGAAGAGCAUGGACAGGUUAUUCCAGCCUGCAGAGCUGUCAGAGAAAUUCAGGGAACUGAGUUCCGUCUCAUUCAGCACAAAAGGAAGGAGCAUGUUCAAAAGCUGAGAUGGGAGCCCACCACCCACCUCCUGGGCUGGGAUGGGGCAGGAGGCAUUGCCCUGCAGCAGUGUCUCCAGGAGAGCAGCCAGAGCUCUCGUCUUCUCCUCUACCCAAGAGUUCUCCACCUCAGAGAUGAGCUUUAAUUUGGAAAGGAAACGCAGGGAAAACUGCAGAGACUGGAUGGUGCACGACAGCUCCUUGGAAAAGCGUUCACUGCUGUUCUUGUAGACAGCAGCAAACUCUGGAGACAGCUUCAGGUUCCUUAUGGCAAGCUGGAACAUUUUGGUUUCAUUGCGCGCAGUUCCACUCUCGACAUCCAUGGAGGCAAAGAGGUCUUUGCAGGGGCUUGAGGCUAACGACUCACUUAGAGAGGCAUUCUCAAAAAGCAUCUGAAGCGUUACGUGGAGCACAUCCCGAGCGGAGCAAUUCUGGAUUGUUCUGGCAUUGCCGUCUCUAUUCUCAAGAAAAGGGCUCAAGGCUACAUGCAAAAACUCCCAGAUUUUUGCCUUCAGUGAAGCACUGUGUGGUAAGGAAGACUCGCUGAACUCCUGCAGUACAAGACGUGUUAAGUUAUAGACAGCAUUAAUCAUUUCUUCAGUGGAAGCUUCACUGGCAUCUCUAUAGUGGAGGAUUUUCAUUCCUGUCCUCAGAAGUUCAGAAAAUCUCUCAAAGGUUUUAUUGUCAAAAUUAAAGAACAGAUCUAUAUAUUUUAAUUUACUGACAUUAUAGUUGAGUUGUAAGUCUUUUAAUACAUACAAGGUCUUCUGUAUGGCUUGAGUAACUAGUGAGAUAUUGGCCACUUCAGAGUUUUCCCCAUCAAACUCUUUAAAUACAGCUGCUAUAAAUUCAGACAGUUGACCAAACUGUUCACUGAAAAGACUAUUUGAAUUAUUAAUCAGCUUUUCAAAAUGGCUGUUUAAUACCUCUAAAAACUGCCCAUAGGCUAUGAUGCCUGCAUUAUUCCAUUGCAUUGAUCUCAGCUUUUCAGCAAGGCGCCAAUAGCCAUUCAGUUCAUGCCACCGCGAUUCACCCAUGGAGCUCUCUACUUUCCGCAUCAGCUCAAACGCAGGCAACAAUAGGUAGUCAUAACCUAUGUUUUCAUGUGUCAAUAUAAAAAAUAUCUUUUGGAGAGCUAGGAGUUGGUCUGGAAAGCUUCUGUACGACACAGGUUUAAGAAGAUAAUCAGAAAUCAAAGACGGUAUUUCUUCAACUCCAUUGAAACGAUCUCUUAAGUCUCCCAGAAAUGAUGGCAUGCUAAUGGUGAGUAAUGUUUUGAGAGCAUUCUCAGUUUGUGCUGUACUAAAAUUAGAAUUAUUUAACAAAACUGGAUUCCAAAUCAUUGUAGCUAAUUUUAAAGCACCCUGAAUUUCUUUCCACUGGGCCAUUAUAUUGAAAAUGGAAGUCCCGUUAAAGUUGCUCUGUAAUUGCUGUGAUGUCAAGUUAUAGAUUUCAUCAAUUAUUUCCUUAUUAUAUUCUUCCUUUAAUUUAUAAUCAUGAUGUGGAGUCAUUCCCAGUUCAAGAAUUGCGUACAAUUUCUGUAAUGU
ensembl:lncRNA